rnacentral:sRNA from 1 species
UUGGUCGCAGGUUCGAAUCCUGCACGACCCACCAAUAUACAAGGUGGUAACUGGUAGAGAACGUGAAGGAUAACGUUGCUUUAGCAACGGCCCGAAGGGCGAGGCGAAGCCGAGUCAUCCUGCACGACCCACCA